AACGAACGCUGGCGGCAGGCCUAACACAUGCAAGUCGAGCGCCCCGCAAGGGGAGCGGCGGACGGGUGAGUAACACGUGGGAAUUUUCCUCAAGGUACGGAACAACUCAGGGAAACUUGGGCUAAUACCGUAUGACGCAGAGAUGCCAAAGAUUUAUCGCCUUGGGAUAAGCCCGCGUCAGAUUAGGUAGUUGGGGGGGUAAUGGCCUACCAAGCCUGGGAUCUGUAGCUGGUCUGAGAGGACGAUCAGCCACAUUGGGACUGAGACACGGCCCAAAAUCCUACGGGAGGCAGCAGUGGGGAAUCUUGCGCAAUGGACGAAAGUCUGACGCAGCCAUGCCGCGUGAAUGAUGAAGGUCUUAGGAUUGUAAAGUUCUUUAGCCUGUGACGAUGAUGACGGUAACAGGAGAAUAAGCCCCGGCUAACUUCGUGCCAGCAGCCGCGGUAA
rnacentral:rRNA from 1 species